AGUGAACGCUGGCGGUAGGCCUAACACAUGCAAGUCGAACGGCAGCACAGUAAGAGCUUGCUCUUACGGGUGGCGAGUGGCGGACGGGUGAGGAAUACAUCGGAAUCUACUUUUUCGUGGGGGAUAACGUAGGGAAACUUACGCUAAUACCGCAUACGACCUACGGGUGAAAGCAGGGGAUCUUCGGACCUUGCGCGAUUGAAUAAGCCGAUGUCGGAUUAGCUAGUUGGCGGGGUAAAGGCCCACCAAGGCGACGAUCCGUAGCUGGUCUGAGAGGAUGAUCAGCCACACUGGAACUGAGACACGGUCCAGACUCCUACGGGAGGCAGCAGUGGGGAAUAUUGGACAAUGGGCGCAAGCCUGAUCCAGCCAUACCGCGUUGGUGAAGAAGGCCUUCGGGCUGUAAAGCCCUUUUGUUGGGAAAGAAAAGCAGCAGGUUAAUACCCCGCUGUUCUGACGGUACCCAAAGAAUAAGCACCGGCUAACUUCGUG
rnacentral:rRNA from 1 species